GACGAACGCUGGCGGCGUGCUUAACACAUGCAGGUCGAACGGAAAGGCCCUGCUUUUGUGGGGUGCUCGAGUGGCGAACGGGUGAGUAACACGUGAGUAACCUGCCCUUGACUUUGGGAUAACUUCAGGAAACUGGGGCUAAUACCGGAUAGGAGCUCCUGCUGCAUGGUGGGGGUUGGAAAGUUUCGGCGGUUGGGGAUGGACUCGCGGCUUAUCAGCUUGUUGGUGGGGUAGUGGCUUACCAAGGCUUUGACGGGUAGCCGGCCUGAGAGGGUGACCGGCCACAUUGGGACUGAGAGACGGCCCAGACUCCUACGGGAGGCAGCAGUGGGGAAUAUUGCACAAUGGGCGGAAGCCUGAUGCAGCAACGCCGCGUGCGGGAUGACGGCCUUCGGGUUGUAAACCGCUUUCGCCUGUGACGAAGCGUGAGUGACGGUAAUGGGUAAAGAAGCACCGGCUAACUAC
rnacentral:rRNA from 1 species